rnacentral:rRNA from 1 species
AACGAACGCUGGCGGCAGGCCUAACACAUGCAAGUCGAGCGAAGCCUUCGGGCUUAGCGGCGGACGGGUGAGUAACGCGUGGGAACGUGCCCUUUGGUACGGAAUAGCCCCGGGAAACUGGGAGUAAUACCGUAUGUGGUCGAGAGACGAACGGUUUAUCGCCAAAGGAUCGGCCCGCGUUGGAUUAGGUAGUUGGUAGGGUAAUGGCCUACCAAGCCGACGAUCCAUAGCUGGUUUGAGAGGAUGAUCAGCCACACUGGGACUGAGACACGGCCCAGACUCCUACGGGAGGCAGCAGUGGGGAAUCUUAGACAAUGGGGGAAACCCUGAUCUAGCCAUGCCGCGUGAUCGAUGAAGGCCUUAGGGUUGUAAAGAUCUUUCAGUGGGGAAGAUAAUGACUGUACCCACAGAAGAAGCCCCGGCUAACUCCGUGCCAGCCGCCGCCGUAACAC